CUCAUAUAAAUGCAGUUGUAAGCGAUGAUGAUGGUGUGGCACACCGAGGGCGUAAAGGAAAAAAAACAUGGAAUGUUUUGGCUGCUUGUUCCUUUGAUAGGCUUUUCACGUUUAUCAACGUUGGAUUUGAAGGUAGUGCUCAUGAUAUUACUGUAUGGAACCAUUGCUUAACUGUACCAGAAUUUCGAUUUCCCCAUCCACCUCCAGGAAAAUAUUAUCUAGUAGAUUCUGGAUAUCCGAAUACCGUUGGAUAUUUGAGUCCAA